GCUAAAACAGCGAUCUGUAAUUGGCGACUUUUCAACAGUUGGGUUCGGGCAGCUGUCACCGUUUUGCGACUUUUGUUGCAAACUUUGCGUGUUUUUGUGCAUGUUUUGUGUCCGAGUUAGUGUUUUUGUCCGUGAUUGUUAUCCUUAAGUGUUUUUACCGCGUGCCCCCUUAAAAAGCCCUUUUGGUUGGGAAGGAUAUCGUAUGAUCGGUCGGCGCCUGCGCAGUGCAAUCCCGCCAACAUGGAAAUCAAACAAGUUUCGUUUGAUUUUCAUUCCGGUCGUAUGUGUCAAGAAGUUAGGUUAUUUAGCGUGUCGUACUGUCAUGCCGUCUGAAAAGUUAGAACGAGUAGUGCUGAAAAGAAUUAAUAAAAUGGAAGGUGACAUAACGCAGAAUAACUCAAGAGCAGAACUUGUACGUUCCAGUGAGGAAAGCAACGAAACCUCGCACAGUGAAAGGACUAUCAAAGAUGUUAAAUUUCGGGAAUGGGUUAUGGUUUUUAUAUUAUGUUUCGUCAACCUUAUCAACUACAUGGAUAGGUUCACCUUAGCAGGCAUUUUGGAAGACAUUCAGAAAUAUUUCAACGUGCAGAAUGACAAAGGCGGGCUUUUGCAGACGGCCUUCGUCCUGAGUUACAUGAUUUUUGCCCCCAUUUUCGGGUACUUGGGGGACAGGUACAGCAGGAAAAAUAUCAUGGCGUUCGGGGUCUUCCUUUGGAGUCUUACCACCCUGAUUGGCUCCUUCAUGACGGAUUUUUGGUUCUUCCUGUUGUUCAGGGCUUUGGUAGGAAUAGGUGAAGCCAGCUAUUCCACCAUUGCGCCGACGAUUAUCAGCGAUUUGUUCGUCGGUGAUGUCAGGUCGAAAAUGCUGGCGCUUUUUUACUUCGCCAUUCCGGUAGGAAGCGGUAUGGGUUAUAUCGUGGGUUCCGAAACGGCCAAAGCCUUCGGGAAGUGGCAGUGGGGGCUCCGUGUGACCCCACUUCUGGGGGUUGUGGCCGUAGUCCUAAUCUUCUUUGUGCUUCGCGACCCCGAAAGGGGUCAAAGUGAGGGCAGUAGCCACAUCCAGACCACCCCAUGGACUGAAGAUUUGAAGGAUUUGGUCAAAAAUAAAAGUUUCAUGAUCUCGACUGCGGGCUUCACGUGUGUCACUUUCGUGGCCGGAGCGUUGGCCUGGUGGGGGCCUAAAUUUAUCGAAAUGGGGCUCAGUUUACAGCCGCAUGCGAGCAGCUUGGAUAGUCAGAGCGUUUCGUAUAAAUUCGGCUUGGUGUCGAUGGUGUCGGGCAUUCUGGGCGUCCCAGCGGGAAGUCUCGUGGCGCAACAUUUGCGCCACCGUUACCCCCGUAUCGACGCCCAUUUGUGCGGUAUUGCCCUUUUAUUGUCGACUCCUAUGGUGUUCGCCGCUUGCCUCACCGCCUCGUACAGCCUCAGUCUUUGUUUCACUUUCGUAUUUUUCGGUGAACUCUUCCUAAACCUCACCUGGUCGAUCGUGGCCGACAUUCUGCUGCUCGACCUUAAUAUUCGGGGCGAUUACGAUGCUGGCGGGCUUAGUUGGUUUAACUCUGGGAUGCUACCUUAGUCAAAUAUUUAAACCGAAAUAUCCCAGGGUUGAUCCUAUCAUAUGCGCAGCGGGACUACUUAUAUCAGCACCCUUACUACUAGGAACCACCUACGCAGUCACCUAUAACAUCGUCCUCUGUUACGUACUUUUAUUCCUAGGACAGGUUGCGUUGAAUCUCAAUUGGUCUAUUGUCAGUGAUAUUUUGCUGUACGUUGUGUUGCCUACGCGAAGGUCGACCGCUGAGGGCUUCCAACUUCUGGUGUCACACGCGCUGGGGGAUGCCGGAAGUCCUUACCUGAUCGGAGUUAUUUCCGAAGCCGUUUUAAUAAUGCUCAACAAUUCGUCAAAGUCCAAAGGGAAUGAUUUUAAGGCGCUUCAGUACGCUUUAUUCACGACGUGUUUCGUCGAAAUCCUGGGAGCAUUCUUCUUCCUCGUCAAUGCCUUGUACAUUUUGCAAGAUAAGCACAAAGUCGACAAAGCAAUUCAGGCAAACUCCCAACAACUCCUAACGGAUGGUUCAGAAACGGAAAAUCCUUCCUGAUUAUUGGUGUAUUAAGCGAGUGAAUUAGACUUUCGUAGCGCGUGUGAUUUGAACGUGUAAGGUUUUUCGUGUAAAUAUGAGUUUGUGAGAGUACUAAUUGUGUUUUGUACAAGACUGAUUUUCAUUUGCGUUUUGUCAAACGUAAAGAUCAAAUACGCACACGAUUUCGUAUUAUAUUAUGAUCUUGUGAUCAUUCAGUACGUUUUUUAGAAUGGUAUUAGUUAUUGUUUUAUUUAUUACAAAUUUGUUAUCACAUAUAGCGAAAUAAAAAUUAAUAAGCCACA